UUACAUCAUUUCUUUCUCUCUCUUCAAUCACUCUUUCGGUAUCUCCCAAACCCUCGAUCUCUUCCUUCCUUCGAUUUCUCUUCAUCUCCCCAGUGAUUUGAUUUAAUCGUUUAUCAUUCUUUCUCAAUGACUCUCAUAAAUUCUUGAUGAGAAGCUUUGGCACAAGCAACCUAGCCCGACGUUCUUUCUGCCCCAGUCAACUCUCUCGCGAAGUCUCUCCUAUAGAAUGGUCUCUACAUCUCUUUCGCUUGAUAUUGCUGUGAGAUCAUUUGUUCUGUAGUUCGUGGUAACUAACUAUGUCUCUUGGUGAAGAGCAUAAAAAAAAAACAGAGCACAGAGUCAUCCACUGUUGUGCAUAAGAUGGAAAGUGGUGAGCAAGUCACUUAGAAAAUGAAUUCAAUGGAAAAGAAGAGGAAAAUCAUAAACGAGUUCCCCAAUCCAAGAGGGAAAAAGCAUAAAAGUUGUGCUUACUCUGUAUGUCACAAGCCUUGUAGAUAGGAUAAGAACUAAUAAUUGUAAGUUUAUCUCUCCUUGUCUUCACUUUUUCUUUUCUUUAGAAAUAAAAAAUAGUUACCUGUAUCUUCUUGGUAGGAUUCUGAUACAUUUUAGUUUGUAACAUUAUUUGUUUAAGUACUAUGAGAAUAAAGAAGCAUUCUAUGUUGUUGACUAAUUAUUAUAUUGGAAUAAAAUUGUAAUAAUCUGUCUACUACUAAAACACUACUAUAGAUUGGCAUUGUUAAGUUAUUGGAUAAUUAUAAUGGAGUGGUGUAAUGGACUUUGGAUAUGUUCCCAGUAAUGGACUUUGACUAACCUUUUGUUUUGCAGUAUGAGAGGAUGACUAAGUGUAAUAAGUUUUAAUACUCAAUUCGUUAAAAGUACAUUUUAUAUUUCCGUAUAUAAUAUACCAUAUUAGAUCAAGUUGCAUUGUGGAAUUCAUGAUAUAUUUUAUUUACUCUUAUUAGACUCUAGUAGUUAUUAUUGGAUUUUGAUUUUUUAUUAUUUUUGCUGUAACUUGUUUAGAUAAUAUUUGAGACUAACCGACUGCUUGGUCCCUUCAGAACUAGUUAUCCCGUUGCUCUGAAACUUGAGUUGCUUGCUUCUUAUCUUCAGAUUUUAUUGCAUAUUAUAUAUGGUGAAUAAAAUUAGAGCUACUCUGAUAUUGGUUUUAUUUAUGUUGAAUUUUGGGCCCAUGAGAUGCCUUUCAUUUUCGCACAUUCUCUCUUGGCCCUAGAAUUGCUCUCUUCUCCUUGAUGUCUCGCUUUGCUAGGGCUCUUCGUAGUUCUAAUGGCAGUUUUAUUGACAGGAAUGUCCAAAGCUUUCUCAAAUAUUCCACCACAUUGCUUGUGUGAACUCAUUCUCUCUCUCCCGUUCUUUCGAUUUUGUUUGGGUAAAUUGAUUUGUAUUGUUGAUUUCAGUGGUACAGGGAUUUGAUUCAAUGGCUCUCACUUCACGACCAUCACGGGUACCUGCAAAGCUAUUCUUGGUUGAUGCCGCAUUAGAGUCUUAAGGUCUAAGGAUUUCGUGGAUGACCAAGUGUAUCUGAUCGACUCCUAAGGACGACCACUAGAGCGACUCCAAUACUAUAACAUACCAUAUCGAUUUCGCCGAAGUCAUAGGAGAUGAAGAGAAAAGACAAACAUCAUCCAUGGCUAUUGGUGUCAUUGGUUCGAUGCUCGCUUUUUAAGUGAAAUAUGGAAGUUUUUUUAUAUUUUAGCAAAACUUUUUAGCUAGAAUUUUAUUUUGAUGACUUUGAUUCUCUAAACACUACUUUUUGAAAGUUAUUCACUCCUUAAGUGAAACAUAUAUUUAGACUGAUACGAUAUUAACAUUUUUGUAAAUCUAAUAUUCUUUUUUAUUA